ACACUAUGGCUCACUCUGGAGGACAAGAGGACAAGAUGAGUCAUGUUGCCAGCCAACCUGGGACUUUCGCAUGGUUCACACUGGAAGUAUUCCAGAGGUAUCAAGCUGGUUUCAGGAGGUCUGAUGAAUACCAAACAUCUUUUCGGCACCCCACCUUCGUGUGACCUCCGGGCUGCCAUCGAUCAUCAAAUGGUCCCUACAGAGCAGCCGACCACAGGUCGACACUGGUGCGCCGGAAUAAUAAAUCAGUGACAGACUCAGUCAGAUGGAGCGACCUGGAGAAAUGGGCCAUAAUGGGGAUGGAGGUUGUGCUGAGGAUCUGUGGUUGACGUGAAAGAGUUAAAUCUCUGCAGCACAAGGGACGUGGAGUCUCUGUAGAGUUCUAUUAAAGCUCUUAUGUAGAUAGGGAUCUCUCUCAGACAGUCCGUAAAACUCACUUGAUUUUGUCCUUAUUGUUCUCAAAAGAGUUCCAUUAAAUUUUUUAUAGAUGUAAUUACAGAUGUAUAAUGUCGAAAGUGUAUCUCUCCAAUGUCAUUUGUAAAAAAUGAAUUACAGUUAAUAAGGAUUCAUUAACAGAUUUGAUGAAUACAAUCUCUGUGAUUUAAGCAAUCAAA